UACGUAGGGGGCUAGCGUUGUCCGGAUUUAUUGGGCGUAAAGAGCGUGUAGGCGGCCAGGUAGGUCCGGUGUGAAAACUCGAGGCUUAACCUCGAGAUGUCAUCGGAAACCAUCUGGCUAGAGUCCGGAAGAGGAAAGUGGAAUUCCUGGUGUAGCGGCGAAAUGCGCAGAUAUCAGGAAGAACACCAAUGGCGAAAGCAGCUUUCUGGGACGGUACUGACGCUGAGACGCGAAAGCGUGGGGAGCGAACAGG
rnacentral:rRNA from 1 species